CACCUCAACCUCCCAAAGUGCUGGGAUUACAGAUGGUGUCAGAAGCGGGGUUCAAAGUAGAGCUUUAAUGACCCCCAGAAGUGCUGAGUGAACAAGCAAGGUACCUGCAAGGACCCACUUGUGUCCUUUGAUCUCUCAGAGCAGUGGUAUUUACACACAGAUGCUCCAUGAUGGGUCACAUCCAAACUUAUCAUAAAGUCAAAAAAUUGUAAGUCAGACUAUCACAAGUCAGAAACCAUCUGUAUGUACAUUCUUGUGUCUAGUCACUUGUGUGGGAAUGAAGGAGGGAG